NNGCUUCAACAGCACAUAUACUAAAAUUGGAACAAUACAGAGAAGAUUAGCAUGGCUCCUGUGCAAGGAUGACAAGCAAAUUUGUGAAGUGUUCCAUAUUGUA
rnacentral:snRNA from 1 species